rnacentral:rRNA from 1 species
GGGGAUCCAUUGAUAGCUUGCUAUCAAUGGUGAGAGUGGCGCACGGGUGCGUAACGCGUGAGCAACCUACCUCCAUCAGGGGGAUAGCCUCUCGAAAGAGAGAUUAACACCGCAUAAUAUCAACAGUUCGCAUGUUCAGUUGAUUAAAUAUUUAUAGGAUGGAGAUGGGCUCGCGUGACAUUAGCUAGUUGGUAGGGUAACGGCUUACCAAGGCGACGAUGUCUAGGGGCUCUGAGAGGAGAAUCCCCCACACUGGUACUGAGACACGGACCAGACUCCUACGGGAGGCAGCAGUAAGGAAUAUUGGUCAAUGGGCGGAAGCCUGAACCAGCCAUGCCGCGUGCAGGAUGACUGCCCUAUGGGUUGUAAACUGCUUUUGUCCAGGAAUAAACCUAAAUACGAGUAUUUAGCUGAAUGUACUGGAAGAAUAAGGAUCGGCUAACUCCGUGCCAGCAGCCGCGGUAAUACGGAGGAUCCGAGCGUUAUCCGGAUUUAUUGGGUUUAAAGGGUGCGUAGGCGGCCUGUUAAGUCAGGGGUGAAAUACGGUGGCUCAACCAUCGCAGUGCCUUUGAUACUGAUGGGCUUGAAUCCAUUUGAAGUGGGCGGAAUAAGACAAGUAGCGGUGAAAUGCAUAGAUAUUGUCUUAAAACUCCGAUUGCGAAAGCAGCUCAACUAAGCUGGUAUUGACGCCUGAUGCACGAAAAGCGUGGGGAUCGAACAAGGAUUAGAAUAACCCUUGGGUAGUUCCAACGCCCUAAAACGAUUGAUAAACUUCGAUGUUGGGCGAUAGAAA